CUUANCCGACGCGCUGAGGAGAGGUGCAUGGCCGUCGCCAGCUCGUGCCGUGAGGUGUCCGGUUAAGUCCGGCAACGAGCGAGACCCCCGCCCCUAGUUGCUACCCGAUCCUCCGGGAUCGGGGCACUCUAGGGGGACUGCCGCCGUCCAAGGCGGAGGAAGGUGGGGGCAACGGCAGGUCAGCAUGCCCUCUAACCCCCCGGGCUGCACGCGGGCUACAAUGGCGGGGACAGCGGGUACCGACCCCGAAAGGUGGAAGGCAAUCUCCUCAAACACCCGCCUCAGAUUGGGAUNGAGGGNUGCAACUCGCACCUCGCGAACGUGGAAUCCUCUNGNNCCCCCNCGUCAACAUCGCGCUGGUGAAUACGUCCCUACUCCU
rnacentral:rRNA from 1 species